rnacentral:lncRNA from 1 species
CAAUGCCACAGAGCUGCCCGCUGAACAGGCUUUGUUUUUCAGUCAUUGGAGUGGAAGAUAGCAGAGACUUGGAUACAUAUAAUAUCCCUGUAAUUUACAUCACUGAGAAUGGGUUUUCCCAAAGUGACCCUGCUCUACUUGAUGACAGUCAAUGAUGGGAGUAUUUCAGGCUGAAUUUACAGGAAAUUUUAUAAGGUAUAAUCAAAUGUCUCUUCAUGAGCUCCUGAGAGGCAAAAUGCAUUGCUGAAGCUGGACCAAAGUGCCUGGGACUGAGAUGUUUUAUGACAUUGUUCAGGGUCCUUCAGCCAAGAAGGGAAAAAGAUGGUGGCAGCUGAGAAUAUCAGUCCCAGUGUAAGUAGUUACAUUUUCAAGGAUUUCAGGUUGUGGUGACUAGCAGUUAUUCUCUAAAACUUAAUAAAUUACAGAAAAGAAUGCA